rnacentral:rRNA from 1 species
UACGUAGGGUGCGAGCGUUAAUCGGAAUUACUGGGCGUAAAGCGUGCGCAGGCGGUUUUGUAAGCCAGAUGUGAAAUCCCCGGGCUCAACCUGGGAAUGGCAUUUGAGACUGCAAGGCUGGAGUGCGGCAGAGGAGACUGGAAUUCCUGGUGUAGCAGUGAAAUGCGUAGAUAUCAGGAGGAAUACCGAUGGCGAAGGCAGGUCUCUGGGCUGACACUGACGCUCAUGCACGAAAGCGUGGGGAGCAAACAGG